rnacentral:misc_RNA from 1 species
UUGUGAACCAGUUGUUUAAUUGAUAAAUAUGUAGAUUACACAUGUAAGUGAUACAAGAAUGCAAGGUGCAAGUUCAUGGGAAAAAUGUAUGCAAGUUUAAAUUAAAAAUUCAUAAAUAGCAUGGCCGGACAGAAAAGCCACAAAGACAAUCGUGUAGGUUGAUGAUUGUAUAAGAGCAAAAGUUUAAUGCCACAAAAGGAAAUGCCCUCGCGGCAGAAAAAAAAUGAUCCUGCUACCGAUGCUGAAGGAGGAAAAAAAGGAAAAAUGGCAAGUAAAGCAGAAAAAAUAAAAUUACCUUGUCCGCACAGUUUCUGCAAUGAACCUUCAGAUCCAUCUUAUUAUCCGAAAGGAUCCUCGGCUGAAGAUGCCAAAGUGAUGAAAUGAAACAAGGCUGAUAGAUCGAUUACGAUUAACCCACACUCCCAAGAAGUGAGUGUCUUUGAUGAAACAAGUCAAUGAUCUCACUCAAAUGGAAAUUGCCACAGCUAAUUACUAAAUGCCAAAGCAUCAUCUGGCUGAUAUGCUGAUACUUGUUUUACACUAAUAACCACAUAAUAAACAAAAGCUUCACUGCCCCUUUUGCCCAUAAAGUACCAUGAAUAAAAAAAUCUGAGAUACAAUUUAAUUU